rnacentral:rRNA from 1 species
GACAGAGGGUGCAAGCGUUACUCGGAAUUACUGGGCGUAAAGAGCGUGUAGGCGGUCUAUUAAGUCCACUGUGAAAGCCCCCGGCUCAAUCGGGGAAGUGCAGUGGAUACUGCUAGACUAGAGUGCAGGAGAGGAGAGUGGAAUUCCCGGUGUAGAGGUGAAAUUCGUAGAUAUCGGGAGGAACAACAGAGGCGAAGGCGGCUCACUGGACUGCAACUGACGCUCAGGCGCGAAAGCGUGGGGAGCAAACAGG